UAAUCCCUAAAAUAAGUAAACAACAAUAAAUCAUAAAAUAAAGCUAAAAGAUAAAAUUAUCAAGAACUUCAUAUUAUCACAUUAAAUCUUCCUUAAAAUGUUAUAGCAACAAUUAGGUUAAUUGCAAAAUCGGCUAAUUGGGCCUUAGGUAACUUUGUAUAAACUGGCUCGGUACUUGCCAAUGCAAUUGCACUUAUGUGUUAAACCUUCGUCCGCAAUUGCGACCAUGCAUUUGCAAACAUGCUGCUUGGCUAAAAGGGAGCCUUGUAAGAUGGUGUCCCAAAUUUUGUGAAUGCGAUGGCCUAGCCUGUAAGUCUUCUACACAACUACGUUAGUUAUUUUCUGAUCGUGGUGAACAACUAGGUAAUUCAUUAACAGUAGCUCUAAUUGCAUCUUCUAGAUUGAUACCUGAUCUCUUGAAAAACUCC
rnacentral:lncRNA from 1 species